UAGGAACGGCUAAGAGAUUAGCUGGUGCCUUUCGGGGAAUCUAGAGACAGGUGGUGCAUGGUUGUCGUCAGCUCGUGUCGUGAGAUGUUGGGUUAAGUCCCGCAACGAGCGCAACCCUUGUGAUUAGUUGCUACAUUUAGUUGAGCACUCUAAUCAGACUGCCGUUGACAAAACGGAGGAAGGUGGGGACGACGUCAAAUCAUCAUGCCCUUUAUGACCUGGGCUACACACGUACUACAAUGGUCGCUAACAGAGGGAUGCAAUGCCGCGAGGUGGAGCAAAACCCUAAAAGCGAUCUCAGUUCGGAUUGUAGGCUGCAACUCGCCUACAUGAAGUUGGAAUUGCUAGUAAUCGCGGAUCAGCAUGCCGCGGUGAAUACGUUCCCGGGCCUUGUACACACCGCCCGUCACACCAUGGGAGCCGGUAAUACCCGAAGUCAGUAGUCUAACCGCAAGGAGGACGCUGCCGAAGGUAGGAUUGGCGACUGGGGUGAAGUCGUAACAAGGUAGCCGUAUCGGAAGGUGCGGCUGGAUCACCUCCUUUAUG
rnacentral:rRNA from 1 species